GGAGGAAAGUAGGGGAUCGAAAGACCUUGCGCUUUUGGAGCGGCCGAUGUCUGAUUAGCUAGUUGGUGGGGUAAGGGCCUACCAAGGCGACGAUCAGUAGUUGGUCUGAGAGGACGACCAGCCACACUGGGACUGAGACACGGCCCAGACUCCUACGGGAGGCAGCAGUGGGGAAUUUUGGACAAUGGGCGCAAGCCUGAUCCAGCAAUGCCGCGUGAGUGAAGAAGGCCUUCGGGUUGUAAAGCUCUUUCAAUCGAGAAGAAAAGGCUGCAGUGAAUAACUGUAGUUUAUGACGGUAUCGACAGAAGAAGCACCGGCUAACUACGUGCCAGCAGCCGCGGUAAUACGUAGGGUGCGAGCGUUAAUCGGAAUUACUGGGCGUAAAGGGUGCGCAGGCGGUUUUGUAAGUCAGAUGUGAAAUCCCCGGGCUUAACCUGGGAAUUGCGUUUGAAACUACAAAGCUAG
rnacentral:rRNA from 1 species